GAUGAACGCUGGCGGCGUGCCUAAUACAUGCAAGUCGAGCGAACGGACGAGAAGCUUGCUUCUCUGAUGUUAGCGGCGGACGGGUGAGUAACACGUGGAUAACCUACCUAUAAGACUGGGAUAACUUCGGGAAACCGUAGCUAAUACCGGAUAAUAUUUUGAACCGCAUGGUUCAAAAGUGAAAGACGGUCUUGCUGUCACUUAUAGAUGGAUCCGCGCUGCAUUAGCUAGUUGGUAAGGUAACGGCUUACCAAGGCAACGAUGCAUAGCCGACCUGAGAGGGUGAACGGCCACACUGGAACUGAGACACGGUCCAGACUCCUACGAGAGGCAGCAGUAGGGAAUCUUCCGCAAUGGGCGAAAGCCUGACGGAGCAACGCCGCGUGAGUGAUGAAGGUCUUCGGAUCGUAAAACUCUGUUAUUAGGGAAGAACAUAUGUGUAAGUAACUGUGCACAUCUUGACGGUACCUAAUCAGAAAGCCACGGCUAACUACGUG
rnacentral:rRNA from 1 species